rnacentral:rRNA from 1 species
AUUGAACGCUGGCGGCAGGCCUAACACAUGCAAGUCGAACGAGUGGCGGACGGGUGAGUAAUGUCUGGGAAACUGCCCGAUGGAGGGGGAUAACUACUGGAAACGGUAGCUAAUACCGCAUACCAUCGGAUGUGCCCAGAUGGGAUUAGCUAGUAGGUGGGGUAAUGGCUCACCUAGGCGACGCUCCCUAGCUGGUCUGAGAGGAUGACCAGCCACACUGGAACUGAGCCACGUCCCAGACUCCUACGGGAGGCAGCAUUGGGGAAUAGUGCACAAUGGGCGCAAGCUUGAUGCGGCCAGGCCGCGGGUAUGAAGAGGGCCUUCGUGUUGUAAAGUACUUUCAGCGGGGAGGCGUUACUCGCAGAAGAAGCACCGGCUAACUCCGUGCCAGCAGCCGCGGUAAUUC